rnacentral:rRNA from 1 species
CCUGCCCACUGAAAAUUUUAAAUGGCCGCAGUAAUUUGACUGUGCAAAGGUAGCAUAAUCAUUAGUUUUUUAAUUAAAAGCUUGUAUGAAAGGUUGGACGAGAUAAAAUCUGUCUUUAUUUAAAUUAUAUUAGAAUUUAAUUUUUGAGUUAAAAAGCUUAAAUUUAUAUAAAAGACGAGAAGACCCUAUAGAUCUUUAUAUUAUUAUAAUAUAAUUUUAAUUAAGAAUAUUUAAUUUAUUAUUUUUUAUAAUAUUUUAUUGGGGUAAUAAAAAGAUUUAAUUAAUUCUUUUUUUUAUUAUACAUUUAUUAAUGAAUUAUUGAUCCAAAAAUUUUGAUUAUAAGAUUAAGUUACCUUAGGGAUAACAGCGUAAUUUUUUUAAAGAGUUCAUAUCGAUAAAAAAGUUUGCGACCUCGAUGUUGGAUUAAAAAUUAUUUUAGGCGUAGAAGUUUAAAAAUUUGGUCUGUUCGACCAUUAAAUUUUUACAUGAUCUGAGUUCAGACCGGUGUAAGCCAGGUCGGUUUCUAUCUUUAUAUAUUUAUAAUAUUUUAGUACGAAAGGACCAAAUAUUAAAUAUAUUAAUAUUUUUAAUAUUGAAUAUUAUUAA